rnacentral:misc_RNA from 1 species
GAUGAAGAACGCAGCGAAAUGCGAUAAGUAAUGUGAAUUGCAGAAUUCAGUGAAUCAUCGAAUCUUUGAACGCACAUUGCGCCCGCCAGAAUUCUGGCGGGCAUGCCUGUUCGAGCGUCAUUUCAACCCUCGAGCUCCCCUUGGGGAGCCCGGCGUUGGGGACCGGCAGUAACACCGCCGGCCCCGAAAUGGAGUGGCGGCCCCGCCCGCGGCGACCUCUGCGUAGUAAAUCCACUCGCACCGGGACCCGGGCGCGGCCACGCCGUAAAACACCCAACUUCCGAAUGUUGACCUCGAAUCAGGUAGGAAUACCCGCUGAACUUAAGCAUAUCAAUAAGCGGAGGA